CACGUCUCAACCUCCAUCACCGCUUUAGAAGACGGCAGCCAUGUUGGAUUUGAAAGAGUCAAGUUCCUGUUCCGCUCGACUGUAAAUUGGAUGCGCAGUUUUCCAAACUGGCUGCAGUCACAAUGCAUCGUGAGCCGGAAAGAGAUCCAUAAAACUUUUUUAAACUGUCACCUUUUUGUCCUGACUAAACACCCAGGUGCCUUCGAAAGCAGCGAACAGAGAAGUUUAACAGAGCAGCGUAAAAAACCUUCUGACUCAUUUCAGGUUGACCUUGUGGCCUCUGAGUCUCUGAAGUCUGCUGAAGCUCCAGCUUCUCACAGCUCCCUCUUAAAAAGUUUUCUCCAGUGGACGCACUCCACUCCACAGAUCCUAAGCCCCUCCUGCUUGCUAUAAAAAGACCCACAGCUUCUCUAGAGGAAAAGAAAGAGAAGAGGAGUGGGCCGGGGGGACGGAGGGGGUCUCAGUCUUAAAGUGCAUAUGAGGCUAAGCUGUUUGAUGUGGCCAGGUGAUUGAGGCAAGCUGCUGCUGUUCCCGCCAGAGAACAAUGUGUGAUUUUCAGAAACCAGAAUGCUAUCUGUGCUGCUCAGAUCAUCAUCUCUCUCUGUGUGUGUUUGUGUGUGUGUGUGUGUGUGUGUGUGUGCAAUCAUAAAGCUGCUUUCUAUUUCCAGACUGGAGGGAGAGUCUGACUCACUGUCACAAUGGAGGGGAGCUGAGAGAGAGGAGGAAGGGUGAAGAGGGAAGAAUAGAGCGCUGGAAGAAGUGAAGAAAGGAGAGGAGAGAAGGAGGAAAAGAACGGCAAUUUUUCUUUCUUUCUUUUUUUUUUUGGUUUUAUAAGCAGCGCCGUACAGAAAGCUACUGUUUCCGUUCUCAUAAAGGCCAAACGGGACUUUUUCAAAAAAAGCACAUUUCAUGUCUGUGAGUCACAUGGGAGAAAUGUCGCCAGCAAACUGAAAUUUACGACAUCUUGUAUAAAAAAAUAAUAAAAAACACCAUUUGACAUGUGAUGAGGCCACACAAUGGAAACCUUUGAACAUGAAAUCCGAAUUCUGAUCGAUUGGAAACGUUUUCUUACAGCUGAUCAGUUUAAUAAGAGCUUCUCUGUCAAGAUGUUUGUUUUUUUUCUGUACGGUUUUGACAAGAGAAGAGAAUCUCAUAAAGCUGUUACCAGCCAGGAGCGAUUAUGUAAAAGAUGAUAGAACCCUGCCAAAAAAAAAGAAAAGAAAA